rnacentral:rRNA from 1 species
GACGAACGCUGGCGGCGUGCUUAACACAUGCAAGUCGAACGGAAAGGCCCUGCUUUUGUGGGGUGCUCGAGUGGCGAACGGGUGAGUAACACGUGAGUAACCUGCCCUUGACUUUGGGAUAACUUCAGGAAACUGGGGCUAAUACCGGAUAGGAGCUCCUGCUGCAUGGUGGGGGUUGGAAAGUUUCGGCGGUUGGGGAUGGACUCGCGGCUUAUCAGCUUGUUGGUGGGGUAGUGGCUUACCAAGGCUUUGACGGGUAGCCGGCCUGAGAGGGUGACCGGCCACAUUGGGACUGAGAUACGGCCCAGACUCCUACGGGAGGCAGCAGUGGGGAAUAUUGCACAAUGGGCGGAAGCCUGAUGCAGCAACGCCGCGUGCGGGAUGACGGCCUUCGGGUUGUAAACCGCUUUCGCCUGUGACGAAGCGUGAGUGACGGUAAUGGGUAAAGAAGCACCGGCUAACUACGUGCCAGCAGCCGCGGUGAUACGUAGGGUGCGAGCGUUGUCCGGAUUUAUUGGGCGUAAAGGGCUCGUAGGUGGUUGAUCGCGUCGGAAGUGUAAUCUUGGGGCUUAACCCUGAGCGUGCUUUCGAUACGGGUUGACUUGAGGAAGGUAGGGGAGAAUGGAAUUCCUGGUGGAGCGGUGGAAUGCGCAGAUAUCAGGAGGAACACCAGUGGCGAAGGCGGUUCUCUGGGCCUUUCCUGACGCUGAGGAGCGAAAGCGUGGGGAGCGAACAGGCUUAGAUACCCUGGUAGUCCACGCUGUAAACGGUGGGUACUAGGUGUGGGGUCCAUUCCACGGGUUCCGUGCCGUAGCUAACGCUUUAAGUACCCCGCCUGGGGAGUACGGCCGCAAGGCUAAAACUCAAAGGAAUUGACGGGGCCCCGCACAAGCGGCGGAGCAUGCGGAUUAAUUCGAUGCAACGCGUAGAACCUUACCUGGGUUUGACAUGGAUCGGGAGUGCUCAGAGAUGGGUGUGCCUCUUUUGGGGUCGGUUCACAGGUGGUGCAUGGCUGUCGUCAGCUCAUGUCGUGAGAUGUUGGGUUAAGUCCCGCAACGAGCGCAACCCUUGUUCAUUGUUGCUAGCACGUUAUGGUGGGGACUCAGUGGAGACCGCCGGGGUCAACUCGGAGGAAGGUGGGGAUGACGUCAAGUCAUCAUGCCCCUUAUGUCCAGGGCUUCACGCAUGCUACAAUGGCUGGUACAGAGAGUGGCGAGCCUGUGAGGGUGAGCGAAUCUCGGAAAGCCGGUCUCAGUUCGGAUUGGGGUCUGCAACUCGACCUCAUGAAGUCGGAAUCGCUAGUAAUCGCAGAUCAGCAACGCUGCGGUGAAUACGUUCCCGGG